AUUAAUUCAAGGAAGCUGUCCAGGAGGGUCCUGGAGCUGCAUGUCUACAAAGCAGAGCAUGUCUGAAGUGUCCUGAAUUCAACCUCAGAAAUGUGGACUGAAGCUGCAUUGCUGGUACCCACCAUGAUCAGUUGUGUGAAGGCAGCUUGGCAGUGGUCAUGACUCUUCUUAUUCCUAACUAGUUCAUCUACAAGAGGUGCCAACAGACCACAGCCCAUGGACUUCACAAUUCCCUGUGGAUGGCCCAGCAGCCGUGGUCCAGUUCAGACACGCGGUUCUGUGGAUCGGAGGUACUUGCCGCCGUCUCCUCAGCGCUUUGAUCCUCCUGCAGUCUGACACAUGACCACACCGACCCCUGGAAGGGCAUUAGAGCAGGCUUCAGCGGAGCCAACAUCUGUGCCUCCCAGCACUGCCACUGC